UACGUAGGUGGCAAGCGUUGUCCGGAUUUACUGGGCGUAAAGAGCGCGCAGGCGGUCGUUCAAGUCGCGUGUGAAAGCCCCCGGCUCAACUGGGGAGGGUCAUUCGAUACUGAUCGACUCGAAGGCAGGAGAGGGUAGUGGAAUUCCCGGUGUAGUGGUGAAAUGCGUAGAUAUCGGGAGGAACACCAGUGGCGAAGGCGACUUCCUGGACCAAUACUGACGCUCAUGUGCGAAAGCGUGGGGAGCAAACAGG
rnacentral:rRNA from 1 species